rnacentral:rRNA from 1 species
AGAGUUUGAUCCUGGCUCAGAACGAACGCUGGCGGCAGGCCUAACACAUGCAAGUCGAGCGCCCCGCAAGGGGAGCGGCAGACGGGUGAGUAACGCGUGGGAAUCUACCUAGUGGUACGGAAUAGCCCAGGGAAACUUGGAGUAAUACCGUAUAAGCCCGAAAGGGGAAAGAUUUAUCGCCAUUAGAUGAGCCCGCGUUGGAUUAGCUAGUUGGUGGGGUAACGGCCCACCAAGGCGACGAUCCAUAGCUGGUCUGAGAGGAUGAUCAGCCACACUGGGACUGAGACACGGCCCAGACUCCUACGGGAGGCAGCAGUGGGGAAUAUUGGACAAUGGGCGCAAGCCUGAUCCAGCCAUGCCGCGUGAGUGACGAAGGUCUUCGGAUUGUAAAGCUCUUUUGGCGGGGACGAUAAUGACGGUACCCGCAGAAUAAGCCCCGGCUAACUUCGUGCCAGCAGCCGCGGUAAUACGAAGGGGGCUAGCGUUGUUCGGAAUUACUGGGCGUAAAGCGCACGUAGGCGGACUCUUAAGUCAGGGGUGAAAUCCCGGGGCUCAACCUCGGAACUGCCUUUGAUACUGUGAGUCUCGAGACCGGAAGAGGUGAGUGGAAUUCCUAGUGUAGAGGUGAAAUUCGUAGAUAUUAGGAAGAACACCAGUGGCGAAGGCGGCUCACUGGUCCGGUUCUGACGCUGAGGUGCGAAAGCGUGGGGAGCAACAGGAUUAGAUACCCUGGUAGUCCACGCCGUAAACGAUGGAUGCUAGCCGUCGGCCAGCUUGCUGGUCGGUGGCGCAGCUAACGC